UCUGCCCAUCCCCGGCCGGGCUUAAAAUGCCGGGACGCCCCGGCGCGGAGUGGCCGCGCGCUUAGUAGCCAAAUCGCGGGCGGGAAAGGAAAU
ncrna:unclassified sequences GP20-a RNA